rnacentral:rRNA from 1 species
UACAGAGGUCCCAAGCGUUGUUCGGAUUCACUGGGCGUAAAGGGUGCGUAGGUGGCGGGGUAAGUUUGAUGUGAAAUCUCCGAGCUCAACUCGGAAAUGGCAUUGAAUACUAUCUUGCUAGAGGGUUGGAGGGGAGACUGGAAUUCUCGGUGUAGCAGUGAAAUGCGUAGAUAUCGAGAGGAACACCGGUGGCGAAGGCGAGUCUCUGGACAACUCCUGACACUAAGGCACGAAAGCUAGGGGAGCAAACAG